GCAGCUCAUUAGGAGGGCAGGUAUGGAUGGCACUGCUGCCCGCCUGCCGCCCACCACUCCCCCACAGAGGUGCCCACUCGAGGGAGAGAGAGCUGAGCUAGGCUGGCACACACACCUGGGGUAAGCAAAUAGCUUAGCAAAUACGCUGUGCUGCAGGACCGUUACUGAGGGGCUCUGGGCCUUGCCUGAGUAUGCUGACGAGGAGGCACACAAAGG